AGACAGACAUUCCCCGGGGACGCAAAUGUGGCUGUUAACUCGCACAGGUGUAACGGGGCUCUCCGUGACGCAGCGUCUGGCGCGGCACUGUGACGUCAUUGUUGAUGGACGUGAAGCGGGCGGACGGCGGGCGCCAUGGACGGCCUCGAUGGUAUAUAGAACCAGCCAUCAUGGCCGAGGAUGCCCAGCAGGAAAGUGACCAGCAGGAUACAUGCACUCUUCACCUGCAACCCAUAGAUGAUACCCAGACAACCACGCCGCAGGACAUACCCCAAACAUCCCACAACUGAGCACAACACCAGACCAGACACAAAUGGAGACUGAGUUUUGGAGCGGAUGGGCCAAACAACAAGAACUGAACUAUGCGUGCCUUACCCAACAAAGCCAAUACCUGGCAAGUCUGCCCCAUCAUCUGCCUAGACUGGCUCGAAACUCUGGCAGACUUAUCGUUCAAGUGGGAAGAAUAGCCAAUACCAUGGAACAGAUGAGGGCAGACAACUGCCAAAUGCAAGCAAAUCUCGUCCGCAUCAUGGAUGAGCAACAGCGCCAACAACAAUCCCUAAUUCAGGUCAUCCAACACAACCAAUUUAUCAAUGAAAACAUGUCACGAAUAAUAGCAAGCCACACUGCAGCUAAUACGCAACUCACUGCCAGCCUCAAUAUACUCAGCCAAAGCCUUAAUGUUUUGGCAUCACACCAAGUCAGCUCUAGCUCGGGGACAACUACACCAAACCAGACCCCAGUUCAAUCCCCAGUAAGACGCUCCAGUAGAACCAGGAGCAACGAGCCAGCACAAUCCUCGGCACCCAGCACACAACAAAGAAAAAAAUAAUGUGUCCUGCAGUUAAUUUUUGGUCUAUUAUAAUAUUAUGUUGAUUUGU